GACGAACGCUGGCGGCGUGCUUAACACAUGCAAGUCGAACGGAAAGGCCCUGCUUUUGUGGGGUGCUCGAGUGGCGAACGGGUGAGUAACACGUGAGUAACCUGCCCUUGACUUUGGGAUAACUUCAGGGAACUGGGGCUAAUACCGGAUAGGAGCUCCUGCUGCAUGGUGGGGGUUGGAAAGUUUCGGCGGUUGGGGAUGGACUCGCGGCUUAUCAGCUUGUUGGUGGGGUAGUGGCUUACCAAGGCUUUGACGGGUAGCCGGCCUGAGAGGGUGACCGGCCACAUUGGGACUGAGAUACGGCCCAGACUCCUACGGGAGGCAGCAGUGGGGAAUAUUGCACAAUGGGCGGAAGCCUGAUGCGGCAACGCCGCGUGCGGGAUGACGGCCUUCGGGUUGUAAACCGCUUUCGCCUGUGACGAAGCGUGAGUGACGGUAAUGGGUAAAGAAGCACCGGCUAACUACGUG
rnacentral:rRNA from 1 species